rnacentral:rRNA from 1 species
UAGCUAGUUGGUGGGGUAAGGGCCUACCAAGGCGACGAUCGGUAGCUGGUCUGAGAGGAUGGCCAGCCACACUGGAACUGAGACACGGUCCAGACUCCUACGGGAGGCAGCAGUGGGGAAUAUUGGACAAUGGGGGCAACCCUGAUCCAGCAAUGCCGCGUGUGUGAAGAAGGCCUGAGGGUUGUAAAGCACUUUCAGUGGGGAGGAGGUUUGAUUGGUUAAGAGCUGAUUGAAUGGACGUUACCUACAGAAGAAGCACCGGCUAACUCCGUGCCAGCAGCCGCGGUAAUACGGAGGGUGCGAGCGUUAAUCGGAAUUACUGGGCGUAAAGGGUGCGUAGGUUGUUUGAUAAGUUGUCUGUGAAAUUCCUGGGCUUAACCUGGGCAUGUCAGAUGAUACUGUUAGACUAGAGUAUAGGAGAGGGUAGUGGAAUUUCCGGUGUAGCGGUGAAAUGCGUAGAGAUCGGAAGGAACACCAGUGGCGAAGGCGGCUACCUGGCCUAAUACUGACACUGAGGCACGAAAGCGUGGGGGGCAAACAGGAUUAGAUACCCUGGUAGUCCACGCUGUAAACGAUGUCAACUAGCUGUUGGUUAUUUAAAUAUAAUUAGUGGCGC